rnacentral:tRNA from 1 species
CUUAAUAAUUUAAAAAUUAAAUUUAGAAUUUAAUUAUAAAUUUUUAUAAAUUUUAUUAAGA